rnacentral:rRNA from 1 species
AUUAGAUAAAAAACCAACGCCCUUCGGGGCUUCUUGGUGAUUCAUGAUAACUUUACGGAUCGCAUGGCCUUGCGCCGGCGACGGUUCAUUCAAAUUUCUGCCCUAUCAACUUUCGAUGGUAAGGUAUUGGCUUACCAUGGUUUCAACGGGUAACGGGGAAUUAGGGUUCGAUUCCGGAGAGGGAGCCUGAGAAACGGCUACCACAUCCAAGGAAGGCGGCAGGCGCGCAAAUUACCCAAUCCCGACACGGGGAGGUAGUGACAAUAAAUACUGAUACAGGGCUCUUUUGGGUCUUGUAAUUGGAAUGAGUACAAUUUAAACCUCUUAACGAGGAACAAUUGGAGGGCAAGUCUGGUGCCAGCAGCCGCGGUAAUUCCAGCUCCAAUAGCGUAUAUUAAAGUUGUUGCAGUUAAAAAGCUCGUAGUUGAACCUUGGGUCUGGCUGGCAGGUCCGCCUCACCGCGUGUACUUGUCCGGCCGGGCCUUCCUUCUGGAGAACCUCAUGCCCUUCACUGGG